rnacentral:lncRNA from 1 species
GCUGCUCAAAUAAUCCAGCUCACACCAAAAAUACUGCUUAUAUUAAACUAGUAUCUUUUUUGAAAAUCUCUGCCAUGGGAAUAGGACGAACUUUGACUUCCUUAAUAUCUUCCUGAUCUGCCAACAAUUCAUCCUUUGCCACUGCCAGCUUUUUCAAUAAAUGUUUAGCCGCUUGCCCUUUAGUUGCUCUCCUGUGCUAUUUGAGGUAAAGCUCUGCUCUAUGUUGUACUCAUAUUUUCAUGUGAACUAUGAGCUAAUUGGAUGUACUGAUGGUCUAAUGCAAUUCUAUCGCUAAUAUAAUAUAUACAUAUACAUGUGUUGAGUGUGGCUAUAUGUUACUUUUGAUGUAAUUAAAAUCAUGUGAAAAAAAUUCUACAUUGGUAUUUUCUGUCCAAAAUGUGUAUUUCGUGAUGUUUGUUAUUUUAUCUGCCGCUUAUUAUGUUGUGUAUGAAAUGAUAAAUUUCUUAUAAAUUUCAUGUAGAUUUCUCUAUCACGUCUUUCAGAAUUAAAUUAACUAUCUAAUUAAAUUUAGUUCUUCUAAUAGCAAAUUAUGACUCUCAUAUUUAUUAUUUUUUCAAGAUUUGUUGAAGGACUACAACAUUCUCCCGAGAUUAACUUUAUAUUAUUUUGAUAGCAAAUUAUGACUCUCAUAUUUAUUAUUUUUAUUUUAUUCUAUAUUAACUUUAUAUUAUUUUGAUUAUUUCUAGGCUAUUUUUUAUCUAUAUAUUAAUUUACAUAUUAAUAUUGAUUUCUAGGUUAAUUAUUUCUACACUAUUUUUCGUAUUUAUAUAUUAAUUUUAUAUUAUGUUGAUUAUCUAUAUGUUACUUUUUAUAUUUUAUUUAUAUAUUAAUUUUAUAUCAUGUUGAUUAUUUCUAAACUAUUUUUUGUAUUUAUAUAUUAAUUUUACA